rnacentral:rRNA from 1 species
CUGCUAAGACUGGAUAGGAGAUAAGAAGGCAUCUUUUUAUUUUUAAAAGACCUAGCAAUAGGUAUGCUUAGGGAAGAGCUUGCGUCACAUUAGUUAGUUGGUGGGGUAAUGGCCUACCAAGACGAUGAUGUGUAGCCGGGCUGAGAGGUCGAACGGCCACAUUGGGACUGAGACACGGCCCAAACUCCUACGGGAGGCAGCAGUAAGGAAUUUUCGGCAAUGGAGGAAACUCUGACCGAGCAAUGCCGCGUGAACGAUGAAGUAUUUCGGUACGUAAAGUUCUUUUAUUAGGGAAGAAAAGAUGGUGGAAAAACCAUUAUGACGGUACCUAAUGAAUAAGCCCCGGCUAACUAUGUGCCAGCAGCCGCGGUAAUACAUAGGGGGCAAGCGUUAUCCGGAAUUAUUGGGCGUAAAGGGUGCGUAGGCGGUUAAAUAAGUUUAUGGUCUAAGUGCAACGCUCAACGUUGUGAUGCUAUAAAAACUGUUUAGCUAGAGUUGGAUAGAGGCAAGUGGAAUUCCGUGUGUAGUGGUAAAAUGCGUAAAUAUACGGAGGAACACCAGAAGCGAAGGCGGCUUGCUGGGUCUUAACUGACGCUGAGGCACGAAAGCGUGGGGAGCAAACAGGAUUAGAUACCCUGGUAGUCCACGCCCUAAACGAUGAGUACUAAACGUUGGAUAAAACCAGUGUUGAAGUUAACACAUUAAGUACUCCGCCUGAGUAGUACGUACGCAAGUAUGAAACUUAAAGGAAUUGACGGGACUCCGCACAAGCGGUGGAUCAUGUUGUUUAAUUCGAAGGUACCCGAAAAACCUCACCAGGUCUUGACAUGCUUUUGCAAAGCUGUAGAAAUACAGUGGAGGUUAUCAGAAGCACAGGUGGUGCAUGGUUGUCGUCAGCUCGUGUCGUGAGAUGUUGGGUUAAGUCCCGCAACGAGCGCAACCCUUGUUGUUAAUUGCCAUCAUUAAGUUGGGGACUUUAGCAAGACUGCCAAUGAUAAAUUGGAGGAAGGUGGGGACGACGUCAAAUCAUCAUGCCCCUUAUGACCUGGGCUACAAACGUGAUACAAUGGCUGUUACAAAGGGUAGCUAAAGCGUAAGCUUCUGGCGAAUCUCAAAAAAGCAGUCUCAGUUCGGAUUGAAGUCUGCAACUCGACUUCAUGAAGUUGGAAUCGCUAGUAAUCGCGAAUCAGCAUGUCGCGGUGAAUACGUUCUCGGGG